rnacentral:lncRNA from 1 species
AGAAAGAAUCGGACGGGAGGGAAGGAAGGGGGGCAAAGAGCACUCAUUAAGGCGAAGGCAACUGGGCAAAGCGUGAAUUUUAAGGCGAUAUAACAUAACAUAAUAUAUGAUAUGAAUUUGGAAUGUGUUUUAUUCUUCUGCGGGACCCAAACAGCGAAGAUUUCUCUUUUGGUCCGCUGAAGGACGAGAAGAAUGUGGAAUCUUCCCCAGAAAGAAGAUAAUAGGGUCGCACAGUGGGUCUCUCUGUCCGAAGAUAAUUCCAGAAGUGCUGCCGAAUUCCCCAUACAAAGAGAGAGAAAAAACAGGCUGGAGAGGGAGGAAAAAAUCAAGCGCCUGAGAACCGAUUCAUCUCGGAAGAAAGUCCAGCUAAAUCUAAGCAACUUUUGCUCGCAAUACAACGAUACAACGUGGAAGAUUUCAACAGAUUCAGAUUCACUCAUACAGAAUUGGCCCCCAUUCCCUAUUCCUAGGACAAUCUUCUGAACAAGGACAUGUUAUAGAAGGUAUGCCAGUGACUUUAACAAUAAAGAAAGAUUUCAAGCUGAGACUUUCA